rnacentral:rRNA from 1 species
GGGGGACAACGUUUCGAAAGGAACGACUAAUACCGCAUACGUCCUACGGGAGAAAGCAGGGGACCUUCGGGCCUUGCGCUAUCAGAUGAGCCUAGGUCGGAUUAGCUAGUUGGUGGGGUAAUGGCUCACCAAGGCGACGAUCCGUAACUGGUCUGAGAGGAUGAUCAGUCACACUGGAACUGAGACACGGUCCAGACUCCUACGGGAGGCAGCAGUGGGGAAUAUUGGACAAUGGGCGAAAGCCUGAUCCAGCCAUGCCGCGUGUGUGAAGAAGGUCUUCGGAUUGUAAAGCACUUUAAGUUGGGAGGAAGGGCAGUAAGCUUAAUACCUUGCUGUUUUGACGUUACCGACAGAAUAAGCACCGGCUAACUCUGUGCCAGCAGCCGCGGUAAUACAGAGGGUGCAAGCGUUAAUCGGAAUUACUGGGCGUAAAGCGCGCGUAGGUGGUUCGUUAAGUUGGAUGUGAAAGCCCCGGGCUCAACCUGGGAACUGCAUCCAAAACUGGCGAGCUAGAGUACGGUAGAGGGUGGUGGAAUUCCUGUGUAGCGGUGAAAUGCGUAGAUAUAGGAAGGAACACCAGUGGCGAAGGCGACCACCUGGACUGAUACUGACACUGAGGUGCGAAAGCGUGGGGAGCAACAGGAUUAGAUACCCUGGUAUUCCCGCCGUA